GUUUCCUUCUUCCUCUCUCAGGGCGAACAGGGCCCUGUCUUCUAUGUAGCCUGGGAUAGCUAUGGGUGGAAGACUUUUGGGUUCAAGCCUCCAGGGUAUAUAUCUUUUUUUUUUUUUUGAGACCGGGUCUUGCUCUGUCACCCAGGCUGGAGGGCAAUGGCACGAUUUUGGCUCACUGCAACCUCUGCCUCCCGAGUUCAAGCAAUUCUCCUGUCUUAGCCUCCUGAGUAGCUGGGAUUACAGGUGUGUGCCACCACACCAAGGUAAUUUUUUGUAUUUUUAGUAGAGAUGGGCUUUCACCACAUUGGCCAAGCUGGUCUUGAACUCCUGACCGCAAGUGAUCCACUCACCUCGGCCUCCCAAAGUGCUGGGAUUACAGGCAUGAGCCCCUGCGCCCUGCCUCGAAGUCCCUGGUGAUUUGGGUAACCAACUGGAAGCCAAGCUGGACAAGCCGACAGUGGUGCACUACCUCUGCUCCAAGAAGACCGAAAGCUACUUCACAAUCUGGCUGAACCUGGAACUGCUGCUGCCUGUCAUCAUUG
rnacentral:sRNA from 1 species